GGAAUUUUGGACAAUGGGCGCAAGCCUGAUCCAGCAAUGCCGCGUGAGUGAAGAAGGCCUUCGGGUUGUAAAGCUCUUUUGUCAGGGAAGAAACGGGUUUUUCUAAUACAGAGACCUAAUGACGGUACCUGAAGAAUAAGCACCGGCUAACUACGUGCCAGCAGCCGCGGUAAUACGUAGGGUGCAAGCGUUAAUCGGAAUUACUGGGCGUAAAGCGUGCGCAGGCGGUUUUGUAAGACUGUCGUGAAAUCCCCGGGCUCAACCUGGGAAUGGCGAUGGUGACUGCAAGGCUAGAGUUUGGCAGAGGGGGGUAGAAUUCCACGUGUAGCAGUGAAAUGCGUAGAUAUGUGGAGGAACACCGAUGGCGAAGGCAGCCCCCUGGGUCAAAACUGACGCUCAUGCACGAAAGCGUGGGGAGCAAACAGGAUUAGAUACCCUAG
rnacentral:rRNA from 1 species